AGCAGUUGGCGUCAUCUACGAGGUCGAGAUGGUUGUAGGCAUCGAGAGUGAUGCCGAGUGCCUAUUUGUUUCACCGAAGGUGAAAUUUAGAUUAAAGUAGAUUUUCGGAUAAACUAGGGUUUUUAUAAAAGUUGCUUUCCUUCCGUUGUUUGUUUGUAUAGCUGCGGAAUUGAAGUUUCCUCUAUUUUGUUGUUUAUUUGGCAGAAAGUGAAUGACGUAAAAAUAUGAGGGAUAAGAGAUGAAUUAAUAUUUUUUUUAUUUUUCUCUAUUAUUGGUUUUGGUCUUGCGUGGGCCGAAGUUAAUUACCGUAUUUUGAAAAGUUUGCGUUUCAACCGGAGCUAACCGGAGCUAAAGUUACGGUAAACUAAACAGUGAAAGUAGAUAUUUACGGUCAUUACCCAUCUCCACUUUAGGUGAAACAAAUAUACUCUGAAGGUGGUGAGGUUGGGCUUGAGGUGAUGGGCGCGCGGAUCGGAAGAGAUUAGAAAUUGAAAUUAAAAAGAGCAAAGAUUAAG
rnacentral:lncRNA from 1 species